rnacentral:RNase_P_RNA from 1 species
CCAGAGGGUCGGGCGACCGCGGGCAUCUUCGGGUGCGCGAGGAAAGUCCGGGCUCCAUGGAACGACGGUGCCGGGUAACGCCCGGCCGGGGCGACCCGAGGGAUAGUGCCACAGAGAGCAGACGGCGACCGCUUCGGCGACGCCAUGGUGAAAGGGUGCGGCAAGAGCGCACCGCGCGACCGGCAACGGGAGCGGCACGGUAAACCCCACCGGGAGCAAGAUCGAAUAGGGAUGGCACAUGAGCCUCGUUCCGGCUCGCCGUCCGGGUUGAUUGCUGGAGGCGGCGCGCGAGCGUCGUCCUAGAGGAAUGGUCGCACAGCCCCGUCAGGGGUGGACAGAACCCGGCUUACAGACCCUCUGGCGCC